rnacentral:rRNA from 1 species
GUGCAGCAGUCGAGAAUUUUUCUCAAUGGGGGAAACCCUGAAGGAGCGACGCCGCGUGGAGGAUGAAGGUCUUCGGGUUGUAAACUCCUGUCAUUUGGGAACAAGGCGUACGUAUUUACUGUACGUAUGUUGAUAGUACCAGAAGAGGAAGAGACGGCUAACUCUGUGCCAGCAGCCGCGGUAAUACAGAGGUCUCAAGCGUUGUUCGGAUUCAUUGGGCGUAAAGGGUGCGUAGGUGGCGCGGUAAGUCGGGUGUGAAAUUUCGGAGCUUAACUCCGAAACUGCAUUCGAUACUGCCGUGCUUGAGGACUGGAGGGGAGACUGGAAUUUACGGUGUAGCAGUGAAAUGCGUAGAUAUCGUAAGGAAGACCAGUGGCGAAGGCGGGUCUCUGGACAGUUCCUGACACUGAUGCACGAAGGCCAGGGGAGCAAACGGGAUUAGAUACCCCCGUAGU